AUUGAACGCUGGCGGCAUGCCUUACACAUGCAAGUCGAACGGUAACAGGUCUUCGGAUGCUGACGAGUGGCGAACGGGUGAGUAAUACAUCGGAACGUGCCCGAUCGUGGGGGAUAACGAAGCGAAAGCUUUGCUAAUACCGCAUAAGAUCUACGGAUGAAAGCAGGGGACCGCAAGGCCUUGUGCGAACGGAGCGGCCGAUGGCAGAUUAGGUAGUUGGUGGGAUAAAAGCUUACCAAGCCGACGAUCUGUAGCUGGUCUGAGAGGACGACCAGCCACACUGGGACUGAGACACGGCCCAGACUCCUACGGGAGGCAGCAGUGGGGAAUUUUGGACAAUGGGCGAAAGCCUGAUCCAGCCAUGCCGCGUGCAGGAUGAAGGCCUUCGGGUUGUAAACUGCUUUUGUACGGAACGAAAAGACUCUUUCUAAUAAAGAGGGUCCAUGACGGUACCGUAAGAAUAAGCACCGGCUAACUACGUGCCAGCCGCCGCGGUAGAAC
rnacentral:rRNA from 1 species